GCGGCGACGGUGACGUUUCAACCGGCUCCACUAUUGUUGGUUCCGAUCGCGACUUUCAUCUCAUCUUGGUUGCUAACGACGUCUCUCCUUCCGUGCCUCCUUCCUUGACUACAUACCCUGGCGAAAGGGGAUGCGUGCUAUCAGCAGAUGUUAAUCAUUCCACCUCAAUUAGUGAACAAAUUUUUUUUUUACGAUGAAGUCAUUCUCACGAUACUCUGAAACUAAGCUUAUUCAAGAGGAGAAUAUCUACUUUAUUUUAUAACACUCGGAAAAUUCAAGGCCUCGUCUCGUGGUUGGCUGAUCUGAUCAUACUACCUGCCGGCGUUUUAUCCGCUGCUUGCGCUUGCUGUUACUUGAAUUCGCUCUCGUCCUCGGGACUGCCGCCGACGUCGGGGAUAACCACCUGCUGCCCUGCGGAAGAUAUUCCCCGGCGGCCGAAUCGCCGACAGAGCGUGAUGGCAGCGUCGCAUCUUUUCCUCCAGCCUGGUCUUGAUCAUCAUCCAGUGCGUCGAUCUCACGGAUCGCGACGGGAGGAACAAGGAUGAAUGAGACAUCUACGUCGGCCGCUUCCCGAGCUCCGAUCGGACCGUCGGCCUGCAGAAAGAUGGAGGAAACGACGCGGCUUGUACUGGUAUAUCCC
rnacentral:lncRNA from 1 species